GAUGAAGCCUGCGGUCCAUUAGCUAGUUGGUAGAGUAACAGCCUACCAAGGCGACGAUGGAUAGCUGGUCUGAGAGGAUGAUCAGCCACACUGGAACUGAGACACGGUCCAGACUCCUACGGGAGGCAGCAGUAAGGAAUAUUGCUCAAUGGCCGAAAGGCUGAAGCAGCAACGCCGCGUGAAGGAUGAAUGGCCUUUGGCCUGUAAACUUCUGUAAAAGGGAAAACAGUCAGGUAUAUCCUGAUUUGAUUGUACCUUUGAAGUAAGCCCCGGCUAACUACGUG
rnacentral:rRNA from 1 species